rnacentral:rRNA from 13 species
UAAGCGGGUGAAGCGACUGUUUAAUAAAAACACAGGACUUUGCGAAAUUUAAUAACAUGAUGUAUAAGGUCUGAGGUCUGCCCGGUGCUCUAAGGUUAAUGGGACGGGUUCACGCCCUGAACGGAAUCCAGGGUAAACGGCGGCUGUAACUCUGACGGUCCUAAGGUAGCGAAAUUCCUUGGCGGGUAAGUUCCGUCCUGCAUGAAUGAUAUAACGACUUCUCCACUGUCUCCGGUAUCGGUCCAGUGAAAUUGA